YUGCWGRRKKSGCCCUUAGGAAGCACCGGCUAACUCCGUGCCAGCAGCCGCGGUAAUACGGAGGGUGCGAGCGUUGUUCGGAUUUAUUGGGCGUAAAGCGCGUGUAGGCGGUUUUUUAAGUCUGAUGUGAAAGCCCCGGGCUCAACCUGGGAAGUGCAUUGGAUACUGGGAGACUUGAAUACGGGAGAGGGUAGUGGAAUUCCUAGUGUAGGAGUGAAAUCCGUAGAUAUUAGGAGGAACACCGGUGGCGAACGCGGCUACCUGGACCGAUAUUGACGCUGAGACGCGAAAGCGUGUGGAGCAAACACGAUUAGAUACCCUGGUAGUCCACGCCGUAACGAUGAGAACUACGUGUCGCGAGUA
rnacentral:rRNA from 1 species